GCCAGCUUCACGCAGGUGAGUGAGCUCACCCGUUUGUGUGCGCAUGCGCAGGAGAACCUGAUCCGCAGAGGAGAAUAGUUGACACGACUGCCUCGUGUAAAUACGGUAAAUGAUAUGAGGCUAUUUACCAAAAUAUCAAGGUAUAAUUCUGUUAUAUUGGAAAAGUAACCUUAAAUGACUUGUCUGUCCUGGCGCUAAACAUAAAAUGAACUUGGCCUUCAAGGGCCUGUUGCAGGCUUACAUGUUUGUUUAUAUGCUGAGUCCAGCAAUGUGUCGCUAAUAUCAGAAGUCUGCACUGUAUGCAAUAAAUGAUGCAAAUAAAGCAGUCACCUGUCAGCUAUAUCAGACAUAACCUUAGUUACAAUGUGCAAGUACCUGCUCUCCCCUGACAGUUAUGUUUUUCUGACUGUUCUUCAGACGAAAAUCUCUGGCCAGGUUUUCUGCACGCUUCCAGCUUCUGAAGGACCAUCAUGAAAAGUGCUUAUCCAAGUACACGGAGAAUGAGAAACACCACAUUCAGUCCUCAGGACUGCCACUCCAAGAAAAGGAGAAUACGUCAUCACAGGAGAUGUCAUCUGAAUUAAUCCCAGACUCCAACAGCUGGGUAUGCUCAGAGAGGUUCAAUCCACACACAAAAUACUCAAGUAGUGUGCUACCGUACACCACGUGUUCAAGAAACGAGUCAAUACAGUCUAUCAGGGUUUCCUUGAUGUAGAUUGCAGAGUUGUAAGAUUAAUCAAAUGAGAGACUAAC
rnacentral:lncRNA from 1 species